rnacentral:sRNA from 1 species
UAUCGCAAGGCCCCACCCGAAGGUACAC